UAGGAAUUGGCGGGGGAACACACAAGCAGUGGAUGAUCUAGAUWAAUUGGAUAAUAAGCCAGAAUCUUACCCAGACUUGACAUGGAUUGUGUCUACGAUGAAAGUCGUAUAGUUGUAGCAAUACAACGCUUUCCACAGAUGGUGCAUGGUCGUCGUCAGCUCGUGCCGCAAGGUGUCUAGUUAAGUCUAGUAACGAGCGCAACCCUCAUCGUUAGUUAGUAUGUCUAACGAGACUGCCCGCGUAAGCGGGAGGAAGGAGAGGAUGACGUCAGAUCCUCAUGCCUCUUACGUCUGGGGCUUCAUAGAUCAUACAAUGGGUAGUUACAGCGAGAAGCGAUACCGCAAGGUGGAGCAAAUCUUUAAAGCUACCCUCAGUUCGGAUUGUAGUCUGGAAUUCGACUACAUGAAAGUUGGAGUUGCUAGUAAUGGCGAAUCAGCCAUGUCGCCGUGAAUAUGUCCCUGUUCCUUGCACUCACCGCCCGUCAAACCAUGGGAGUUGGGGCUCUUUGAAGAUUCGCU
rnacentral:rRNA from 1 species